ensembl:lncRNA
CUAAAUCAAGAAGUAUACUUUAUAGAGAUAAAAGUACCUUUUAGGAGAAUUUAAAGCAGAAGUUUUUCAAAGUGGUUUCCAAGGUGAGGAACCAAGUAUUAAGGAGGAAGAAAGCUAUUUUUAUGUCUUCUGCAAUCAGUUGUCUAUGACUGAUCUAUGGGUUAAUUUUACACUGAAAAACAACAAACAGCAUGUGUCUUCUAAAACCCAGGAAACACUACGCUACAGGAUUUCACCUUAUCAGAUUGGCAAAGAAUAAAAGUCUCGCAGUACUGAAUGAUGACAAGGAUGGAGAACAAUGAGAACAUUCAUACCUGCUGAUGGAAAUGUAAAUUGGUCAAUACCCUUGGAAAUCAACUUGUCAAUAUUUAGAAUAGUUGAAGAUAUAUAAGACCUCAGAGCUAGCAAUACUCCUUCUAGGAAUAAACCCUGAGCAUUAAUGUAAGGAAUCACUUAUAAGAAUGUUCAUUACAGCCUUAUUGAUAAUUGUAAAAAUUGGAAACAGGGCAGAUUUCCAUUGAAAGUAAAAUAAAAUUGUGAUGUAUUUAACACAAUAGACUAUAGCAAUUAAUGAACUUGUGAGUGCUGCAUGUUUUAACAUGGGUGCAUCUUUAAAAUAUAAUGUUAUAAAAAGCAAGUUGCAAAGUGA